rnacentral:siRNA from 1 species
UGUCCAUAUAUCUCACGUGU